UACGUAGGGGGCAAGCGUUAUCCGGAUUUACUGGGUGUAAAGGGAGCGUAGACGGCAGUGCAAGUCUGGAGUGAAAGGCGGGGGCUCAACCCCCGGACUGCUCUGGAAACUGUACGGCUGGAGUGCAGGAGAGGUAAGUGGAAUUCCUAGUGUAGCGGUGAAAUGCGUAGAUAUAUGGAAGAACACCAGUGGCGAAGGCGGCUCUCUGGUCUGCAACUGACGCUGAGGCUCGAAAGCAUGGGUAGCGAACAGG
rnacentral:rRNA from 1 species